rnacentral:rRNA from 1 species
GGACGAACGCUGGYGGCGUGCUUAACACAUGCAAGUCGAACGGAAAGGCCCUGCUUGCAGGGUACUCGAGUGGCGAACGGGUGAGUAACACGUGGGUGAUCUGCCCUGCACUUCGGGAUAAGCCUGGGAAACUGGGUCUAAUACCGGAUAGGACCAUCGUUUAGUGUCGGUGGUGGAAAGUUUUUCGGUGCAGGAUGAGCUCGCGGCCUAUCAGCUUGUUGGUGGGGUAAUGGCCUACCAAGGCGUCGACGGGUAGCCGGCCUGAGAGGGUGGACGGCCACAUUGGGACUGAGACACGGCCCAGACUCCUACGGGAGGCAGCAGUGGGGAAUAUUGCACAAUGGGCGCAAGCCUGAUGCAGCGACGCCGCGUGGGGGAUGAAGGCCUUCGGGUUGUAAACUCCUUUCAACCAUGACGAAGCAUUAUGUGACGGUWGUGGUAGAAGAAGCACCGGCUAACUAC